GGACGGUUAGCUCAGCUGGUAGAGCGCUGCCCUUACAAGGCAGAUGCCGCAAGUUCAAGUCUUGCACCGUCCACCA
rnacentral:tRNA from 1 species